UCCGCCUUGACAAUGUGUAAGUGUUCUUUUCAAACGCGAACGCAAUUUGGAGCGUAUGCCACCCGGUUUCCAAUCAAUUCGCUCAUUCUUCGUGCGGCUGACAUGCAGCACUGUAUAAUAAUGGUGUAAAGACUAUAUUUUGGGGGGCGUGUUGUAUUAAUCGUGAUAGGCUGAUGUUUUACAGGUAGGGGAGACCGGGGAUGGUUGUAACACGGGACAGUUAUAACACUCUCAAUAUCUCCAAUCAGGAACAAGCUAACAUCAUGUUGUUACCCUGUGUACAUGUGCAGUUUAUCCUCAAACCUCGUGAAGAAACAAGACCCUGUGAUAAACUGACAAAAAUCUGAUUUUGAGGCUGAAAACAGGAGAGAUGCCACAUGCAUAGUGUACGCGUCUCUGGUGCUCAACAGCUGACGACGGCAGGUUGAUUCUUCAGUUAAGUCAUGGAAAACAUGUGGAAGCAACUUCAGAGUAAGAUGCAAUUAUGGCUACUUAAACGUACAUACAUCAUGAAGAAGAACACGCGUUACAAGGAUUUCGUGACAACUCAUGUCAUAAACCUGAAGUGUUUAAGCAUAGAAAUCCACACAAUAACGAGACAAGAUUUAGAGAGAGCUCUUUUAUUUCAAAAGAAAGCAGUCAGAGAAAUGUACCAACAAAAAAAAAAAAAAAUCCACAAAAAUGUAAAAGCGAAAGACAAGAAGGCAUGGUA